rnacentral:rRNA from 1 species
GACGAACGCUGGCGGCGUGCUUAACACAUGCAAGUCGAACGGUGAAGGGGUCUGCUUUUGUGGGCCCUGGAUGAGUGGCGACCGGGUAGGUAACACGGGGGAAACUUGCCCCUUUUUCCGGAUAACCGGCCUAAAGUUGUGGCUAUACCGGAUAAUCUUGGGUUUUUGGCGUAGUGGGCCUGGGAAAGUUGCGUCCUUUGGUGGUUUUGGGUGGGGGUGGGCUUGCGGGCUAUUAGACUGUUUGUGGGGUGAUGGGCUACCAAGGCGGUGAUGGGUUGCCGGCCUGAGAGUGUGGACGGUCACACUGGGACUGAGACACGGCCCAGACUCCUACGGGAGGCAGCAGUGGGGAAGAUUGCACAAUGGGCGCAAGCCUGAUGCAGCGACGCCGCGUGAGGGAUGGAGGCCUUCGGGUUGUAAACCUCUUUCGCCAGGGAAGCAGGCCUGCUCCUUGUGGGUGGGUUGACGGUAGCUGGAUAAGAAGCGCCGGCUAACUACGUG